GAUGAACGCUGGCGGCGUGCCUAAUACAUGCAAGUCGAGCGAACAGACGAGGAGCUUGCUCCUCUGACGUUAGCGGCGGACGGGUGAGUAACACGUGGAUAACCUACCUAUAAGACUGGGAUAACUUCGGGAAACCGGAGCUAAUACCGGAUAAUAUAUUGAACCGCAUGGUUCAAUAGUGAAAGACGGUUUUGCUGUCACUUAUAGAUGGAUCCGCGCCGCAUUAGCUAGUUGGUAAGGUAACGGCUUACCAAGGCAACGAUGCGUAGCCGACCUGAGAGGGUGAUCGGCCACACUGGAACUGAGAAACGGUCCAGACUCCUACGGGAGGAAGCAGUAGGGAAUCUUCCGCAAUGGGCGAAAGCCUGACGGAGCAACGCCGCGUGAGUGAUGAAGGUCUUCGGAUCGUAAAACUCUGUUAUUAGGGAAGAACAAAUGUGUAAGUAACUAUGCACGUCUUGACGGUACCUAAUCAGAAAGCCACGGCUAACUACGUG
rnacentral:rRNA from 1 species